rnacentral:rRNA from 1 species
GACGAACGCUGGCGGCGUGCCUAAUACAUGCAAGUAGAACGCUGAAGGAAGGAGCUUGCUCUUUCCGGAUGAGUUGCGAACGGGUGAGUAACGCGUAGGUAACCUGCCUGGUAGCGGGGGAUAACUAUUGGAAACGAUAGCUAAUACCGCAUAACAGUAGAUAUCGCAUGAUAGCUGCUUAAAAGGUGCAAUUGCACCACUACCAGAUGGACCUGCGUUGUAUUAGCUAGUUGGUGAGGUAACGGCUCACCAAGGCAACGAUACAUAGCCGACCUGAGAGGGUGAUCGGCCACACUGGGACUGAGACACGGCCCAGACUCCUACGGGAGGCAGCAGUAGGGAAUCUUCGGCAAUGGACGGAAGUCUGACCGAGCAACGCCGCGUGAGUGAAGAAAGGUUUUUCGGAUCGUAAAGCUCUGUUGUAAAGAGAAAGAAACGAAGUG